GGGGAUCUUGGGCAAUGGGCGAGNCCUGCCCAGCGACGCCGCGUGAGGGAAGAAGGCCCUCGGGUCGUAAACCUCUGUCAGGAGGGAAGAAAAUGCUACAUAUUAAUAGUGUGUAGUAUUGACGGUACCUCCAGAGGAAGCGCCGGCCAACUCCGUGCCAGCAGCCGCGGUAAUACGGAGGGCGCAAGCGUUAUUCGGAAUUACUGGGCGUAAAGCGCGCGUAGGCGGCAACGUAAGUCAGGUGUGAAAGUCCUCGGCUCACCCGGGGGAUGGCACUUGAAACUGCGUAGCUGGAGUUCUGGAGAGGGUGGCGGAAUUCCCGGUGUAGGAGUGAAAUCCGUAGAGAUCGGGAGGAACACCAGAGGCGAAGGCGGCCACCUGGCCAGAAACUGACGCUGAGGCGCGAAAGCGUGGGUAGCAAACAGGAUUAGAUACCCUGGUAGUCCACGCUGUAAACAUUGGAUGCUAGAUGCGGGUGACGUAGAAGUCAUUCGUGUCGCAGCUAACGCGUUAAGCAUCCCGCCUGGGGAGUACGGCCGCAAGGCUGAAACUCAAAGGAAUUGACGGGGGCCUGCACAAGCGGUGGAGUAUGUGGUUUAAUUCGAUGCAACGCGAAGAACCUUACCUGGGCUUGACAUCCCGGGAAUCGUCUAGAGAUAGGCGAGUGCCCUUCGGGGAGCCCGGNGACAGGUGCUGCAUGGCUGNCGUCAGCUCGUGCCGNGAGGUGUUGGGUUAAGUCCCGNACNAGCGCAACCCCUGUUCCUAGUUGCCAUNANGNANNGCUG
rnacentral:rRNA from 1 species